GGAUGCGAGGGUGGUAUGUUGGUGACAUCUGUCACCCCACUGAUGGCCAGGAUUGAGUCAGCAGUUCUGGCUAGCUAGGCAGGUGUCCCCUUUCCCCUUCUCCACUCCAAGUGCAUUGUCCCUCCCAAAGCUGGGCAUUUGGGUCAAAGGGGAUGACCAUCCCCACUAUAGGAGGACUGGUCUUUGGCCAAAGAUAUACAAAUUGCUGCACUCGUCUGCUACAAGCUCCAAACAAGCUCUGGAGAUGACAUGGGGACAUGAUAUGCUUGCCUUCAUACAGCUUAGAGGCUACGUGUUAUGUGGCUCCAGAAG
rnacentral:snRNA from 1 species